UACGGAGGGUGCAAGCGUUAUCCGGAUUCACUGGGUUUAAAGGGUGCGUAGGUGGAUUGCCAAGUCCGUGGUGAAAUCUUCGAGCUUAACUCGGAAACUGCCAUGGAUACUGGUAAUCUUGAAUAUCGUGGAGGUUAGCGGAAUAUGUCAUGUAGCGGUGAAAUGCUUAGAUAUGACAUAGAACACCAAUUGCGAAGGCAGCUGGCUACGCGAAUAUUGACACUCAGGCACGAAAGCGUGGGGAUCAAACAGGAUUAGAUACCCUGGUAGUCCACGCCCUAAACUAUGGAUACUCGACAUACGCGAUACACUGUGUGUGUCUGAGCGAAAGCAUUAAGUAUCCCACCUGGGAAGUACGACCGCAAGGUUGAA
rnacentral:rRNA from 1 species